UCCUACGGGAGGCAGCAGUGGGGAAUAUUGGACAAUGGGCGAAAGCCUGAUCCAGCCAUGCCGCGUGUGUGAAGAAGGUCUUCGGAUUGUAAAGCACUUUAAGUUGGGAGGAAGGGCAGUAAGUUAAUACCUGCUGUUUGACGUACCGACAGAAUAGCCCGAUGCCC
rnacentral:rRNA from 1 species